rnacentral:sRNA from 1 species
AAAUCGAGGACGGAGCGGUCUGGCUGGAGGGCAGACCGAACUUCUGGAACGA